rnacentral:tRNA from 1 species
ACUUUUUUAAUAUAAAAUAGUAUAUUUGGCUUCCAACCAGAAAGACUGAAGUUUCUUCAGAAAAAGUA